UGCGGAGGGAUCAUUACACAAAA
rnacentral:rRNA from 1 species